AAAGAGCACAAGAUUAAAAACAUAACUGUUUACUGUACAUUUAAAUCCAAAUGUCUGUAAGCAUAUAUGCUGUUUUCUUCUUUUUGGUCACAGAAGCUGUUCUGGGAGUGACACUGGAGCAAAAAGAUCUCUCCAUGACAAAAGAGGAGGGCAAAACUAUACCUAUCAGAUGCAAAGUAACUGGAUUAUCCACUGAGUAUGUCCACUGGUACCAAAAGAAAGAUGGUGAAGCUCUCAAAAGGAUCCUAUAUGUCAAAAAAGGCAGCCCACUUACUCCGGAUAAUAACCAUCCUGAUGCAAAACAGUUUUAUGUAAGGAUACAGGAUGAUAAUUACGAUCUGCAAAUAGCUAAACUGAAGAAAAGCCACUCUGCAGUGUAUUAUUGUGCCAGCUGGGCAGGCUCCCACAAUGACACUAAAUAUUUAGCGUGUGUACAAAAACCCUGA